rnacentral:sRNA from 10 species
CUAACCGAUCACUUCGGAAGGUCCGACCAGGAUGAGCCGCGGUUCAGAUCUGUCCCGAACUGUCACCUAUCGAGGCCGAGCAUAUCACGGCCAUAGAGUGGCUGGUUUUCGAUGAGAUUAAAGUGUUUGCAGUUGGGACCUCUCGAGGGUUCAUCUUGGUUUACUCUUUGCGUGGUGAUUUGAUUCAUAGACAGUCAUGUCAACGCUACUAUUGUGCAGUCACCAUUGGAGAUGAUGCUGUGAUUUCAGCUUUCAGACUUUCAGAAGAUAGGAACAGUUCCUUGGUAGGAGCUAUUUUGUCAAAAGUUGUGCCUGCAACAUUUUCCACAAUUGCUUCUUUUUCUAAAAUGAUAUGGCGGAGUGAAAAAAUGCCAACGAGGAAGUCAGAAGAGAAGCCUCAAUCAUUUGCUCGAGUUAAUUUUGGUGAGAAGUCAUGGAGAAUGGUAAGUUUAUGUUUAUGUUCUCCAACAUAAACUUAUGAUCUCAAUGGCAAGUUUAUGUUCUCAAACCUGACGCCAGAACAGGGUCUAGGAAGAAAACAUGGCGGCUUGAGAUGUCUGCGGGAAGCUUCCCAUAAACUAGCUGCAGCAAUGGAGUAGCUAAAAUGAGAAAAGUGUGCGGCAUAUGUGAAAGACACGUGAUCUGAUUAGUAAAGAAGAUGGACACGUGUGACAGUAACUUUAACUCUCUUUACAACAAGAGGAUUUUUACUUUUACUGUUUUUAUCUGUAGUUAAAGAGUUGAUGGUUAGUUAGAAAACUAACUGCACCAAGCUUUCCCUCUCUUCAUGACAGACUAAACAUAGCCUCCGCAUAUGCUGCUUUAGCUCUGGAAUUUUCAGUAAGAGUGAAUAAGAAAUUUUCCCUUUCACACAAACUUUGCUCUCGAUUCUUCUGCAUCUUUCAACAUGGUAUAAGAGCGGACAGUAUGAAAUGGGACUCUGGAUUGCAGAACUUCUUCCAAUCAUAGUUGAGGUUUUGCAAUUGAAUUCUUAUACUCUUCUUUUCUUGUUAUAUGUUUUUUAUUUCUUCUUCAUUCGUCAGUAGAUUGUGCAUUUGGAUCUAUAGAUCAGUCUUGCUUCUGAAUUGUUCUUUCUGGAACAUUUGUUUUCUGAUUCUUCUCUUGAAAUUUUAGUUGAUUGUUACUGGAUUGUUGAUUGA